rnacentral:rRNA from 1 species
UUACGGCCACAUCACGUUGAAACAACGGUUGCCAUACGAUCACCGAAGUUAAGCAACGUCGAGCCUGGUCGGUACGUAGAUGGUUGACCGCUUGUAAGCAUGGG